GCAUUCGGAUAAUCGAGCGUAAUAAGAAAUUACGUUAGGAAAGUCCUCGCUAGCACAGCUGUGAUGCUGUAGUGUUUAUGCCUAAUGCAAAUUUGGGCACCAAGGGAUUGGUGACGGCGAGAUGAUAACCUGUAAAAUGGUUUAAUCUCAUAAAGUGCCACAGAGACGAGUCUCUAGGGAAACCUUGAGAGUGGAACGGGUAAACCCCAUAAGCUAGAAACCCAAAUUAUGGUAGGGGAGCUGCAAAUAAUAACUAAGAAUUUAUUUGCGGUGGUCAUUAAGACCAAGAUAAAUGAUUAUCCCUUUAUUUUACUUAUAAAAUAAAGGACAGAACGAGGCUUAUAGAA
rnacentral:RNase_P_RNA from 1 species